CGGGGAUUAGUUUAACGGUAGAAUUCGCGGCUGGGGGCCGUGUGGCCUGGGUUCGAUUCCCAGAUCCCCGA
rnacentral:tRNA from 1 species